GAGUUUGAUUCUGGCUCAGAUUGAACGCUGGCGGAAUGCUUUACACAUGCAAGUCGAGCGGCAGCGCGGGGCAACCUGGCGGCGAGCGGCGAACGGGUGAGUAAUACAUCGGAACGUGCCCAGACGUGGGGGAUAGCCCGGCGAAAGCCGGAUUAAUACCGCAUGUGAUCUGAGGAUGAAAGCGGGGGACCUUCGGGCCUCGUGCGUUUGGAGCGGCCGAUGGCAGAUUAGGUAGUUGGUGGGGUAAAGGCUUACCAAGCCUGCGAUCUGUAGCUGGUCUGAGAGGAUGAUCAGCCACACUGGGACUGAGACACGGCCCAGACUCCUACGGGAGGCAGCAGUGGGGAAUUUUGGACAAUGGGCGAAAGCCUGAUCCAGCCAUUCCGCGUGCAGGACGAAGGCCCUCGGGUUGUAAACUGCUUUUGUACAGAACGAAAAGUCUUCGGUUAAUACCCGGG
rnacentral:rRNA from 1 species